rnacentral:rRNA from 1 species
CCAGCACCUGCGGUAAUUCCAGCUCCAAUAGCGUAUAUUAAAGUUGCUGCAGUUAAAAAGCUCGUAGUUGGAUUUGUGGCGCGGUCGUCCGGCGGGGCUUCCGGUUUCAUAGUAUCCCGGGGCCGUUUGUCUGGGUUCUUGGCCGCCCCAUUCUUCGGUUGCGUGUCGCUGGCAUUAGGUUGUCGGUUUCUUCGCGCCGAUCGUUUACUGUGAAAAAAUUAGAGUGUUCAAAGCAGGCUUAGGCCGUUGAAUACAUUAGCAUGGAAUAAUGAGAUAGGGCCACGGCGGUCUAUUUUGUUGGUUUGCACGUUGUGGUAAUGAUUAACAGGAACGGUUGGGGGUAUUCGUAUUCAAUUGUCAGAGGUGAAAUUCUUGGAUUUAUGGAAGACGAACUACUGCGAAAGCAUUUACCAAGGAUGUUUUCAUUGAUCAAGAACGAAAGU